GCAUAUCAAUAAGCGGAGGAAAAGAAACCAACAGGGAUUGCCCCAGUAACGGCGAGUGAAGCGGCAAGAGCUCAAAUUUGAAAGCUGGCUCCUUCGGGGUCCGCAUUGUAAUUUGCAGAGGAUGCUUCGGGAGCGGUCCCCAUCUAAGUGCCCUGGAACGGGACGUCAUAGAGGGUGAGAAUCCCGUAUGGGAUGGGGUGUCCGCGCCCGUGUGAAGCUCCUUCGACGAGUCGAGUUGUUUGGGAAUGCAGCUCUAAAUGGGUGGUAAAUUUCAUCUAAAGCUAAAUAUUGGCCGGAGACCGAUAGCGCACAAGUAGAGUGAUCGAAAGAUGAAAAGCACUUUGAAAAGAGAGUUAAAAAGCACGUGAAAUUGUUGAAAGGGAAGCGCUUGCGACCAGACUCGCUCGCGGGGUUCAGCCGGCAUUCGUGCCGGUGUACUUCCCCGCGGGCGGGCCAGCGUCGGUUUGGGCGGUCGGUCAAAGGCCCUCGGAAGGUAACGCCCCUAGGGGCGUCUUAUAGCCGAGGGUGCAAUGCGACCUGCCUAGACCGAGGAACGCGCUUCGGCUCGGACGCUGGCAUAAUGGUCGUAAGCGACCCGUCUUGAAACACGGACCAAGGAGUCUAACAUCUACGCGAGUGUUCGGGUGUCAAACCCGUGCGCGAAGUGAAAGCGAACGGAGGUGGGAACCCUUACGGGUGCACCAUCGACCGAUCCUGAAGUCUUCGGAUGGAUUUGAGUAAGAGCGUAGCUGUUGGGACCCGAAAGAUGGUGAACUAUGCCUGAAUAGGGCGAAGCCAGAGGAAACUCUGGUGGAGGCUCGUAGCGGUUCUGACGUGCAAAUCGAUCGUCGAAUUUGGGUAUAGGGGCAAAAGACUAUCGAACCAUCUUGUAGCUGGUCCUGC
rnacentral:rRNA from 1 species